rnacentral:rRNA from 1 species
UCGGAUUGUAGUCUGCAACCCGACUACAUGAAGCUGGAAUCGCUAGUAAUCGCGGAUCAGAAUGCCGCGGUGAAUACGUUCCCGGGUCUUGUACACACCGCCCGUCACACCAUGGGAGUCGGAAAUGCCCGAAGUCUGUGACCCAACCAUUAAGGAGGGAGCAGCCGAAGGCAGGUCGGAUGACUGGGGUGAAGUCGUAACAAGGUAAC